rnacentral:rRNA from 1 species
UUAAAUGUAAAAUUUUUAUUUAAUUAUUAUUAGUUAUGGUCUUUAAAAUUAAAAAUUUUGGCGGUAUUUUAGUCUUUUUAGAGGAACCUGUUCUUUAAAUGAUAAUCCACGAUUUUAUUAACUUUUAUUAUUAAUUUGUAUAUCGUCGUAAUUAAAUAUUUUUUUAGAAUUAAAAUAUUUAAAAUUUUUAUAAAAAAAAUUAAUCAGAUCAAGGUGCAGUUUAUAUAGAAGUAGAAAUGGGUUACAAUAAAUUUAUUUUUGAAUUUUAAAUAUUAGUAUUUAAAUGAAAUUGGAUUUAAAUGUAAUAUUAAUUAAUUAGUUAAUAUGAUUUUGGCUCUAAGAUAUGU